CGGUUGUCAUCGUAUAACGCAGAUACGUUUUAACCCGGCACAUGACACUGAAACUGCGUUGAUUCAGCGGUGGAAUUGGUCACAGGCAUUGUCAAUUCUGCGUUGCAUUGUAAAUAGCAGAACACCCUGCAGACACAAUAUUCGUCUGCUAUAAAAAGAGGGGAAAUAAAGCGCUGGUAAUGGGAACGAACGCCGAGAGUCUGAGAAGUGAUAUCGACUCGUUGACUUCUACAACUUUUUGUUUAUUUAACCGCACAGUGCCCAUUUAUUUUCCCCUUCACUUUCUCUCACUCGGAGUCUCCUCCCUCUCUCUCAUACCUCUAGCUCGUUUUUUUUUUUUUUUUUUUUUAUUAUGAUUUUUUGUUUUUGACAAAACGAUGUUGAAGCCUUGGCUUCCGAGCUUCCGCCUAGCUACGCCACUGU
rnacentral:lncRNA from 1 species